UAUCAGUUGAAAAGCUUUCUGACACUAAUUUUAAAUAUUAGAACUUCACAAAAAGACUUUGACCAACUGGUCACACAGCAGGUCUCCAGUGAGGCUGUCAGUAACUUGUGACUCUCGUCAGCCCUGUGGUGUGUCAGUGCCGUUAUGGGGGCAGAGAAUGGUGGUCUUAAAAAUGAGUGUUUUGUGUGCUUGUGCUCUAACUGAUUUAUUAAAUGGCAAUUAUUUCUGCUUCCAGCAAUUCCAGACAAGAUAGGAAAGAGCGAGGACUUUUCUCCCCCACCCUUCUUUUCCAUUACUAAAGAAUAUGAAAAUGUUGACUGAAUUAUUUAUGCCAGUGCAAUCAUAUUCAGCAUAUUUAUGGUUACAUUUAGUUGUUAGCAAAUUGUACCUCACAAAGGCACAGCCAGUCCUGUCAGGUAUGUAGUGAAAUGACUCUUAUGGCACAGCAAAUGCCUUAAAGGUGAUGGCUUUCUUUUUCCUUUUCAAUAUCAUUCAGAAAUCAACCAGUCUAGAAUGGAGUGAUCGCUUGCUUUAGUCUUCAUUGAUCCAAAACAUCCUUACUGCUUGUGACUGGCUGGAUGCCAACAAAGACCAACUUGUUGGGACAGUCCUCCGGCCAAGAAUUCUGGAAAUGGACGAGGAUGAAGUUACAUACACAAUU